rnacentral:rRNA from 1 species
UACGUAGGGGGCGAGCGUUGUCCGGAAUCAUUGGGCGUAAAGCGCGUGUAGGCGGCCCGGUAAGUCCGCUGUGAAAGUCCAGGGCUCAACCCUGGGAUGCCGGUGGAUACUGUCGGGCUCGAGUCCGGAAGAGGCGAGUGGAAUUCCUGGCGUAGCGGUGAAAUGCGCAGAUAUCAGGAAGAACACCAAUGGCGAAGGCAGCUCUCUGGGACGGUACUGACGCUGAGACGCGAAAGCGUGGGGAGCGAACAGG